rnacentral:rRNA from 1 species
GGAGGAAAAGAAACUAACAAGGAUUCCCCUAGUAAUGGCGAUGAGAGGCAAAGCCUCAAAUUUGUAAUCUGGCUCUUUCAGAGUCCGAGUUGUAAUUUUAAGAACUGUUUUCAGUGCUGGACCAUGUAUAAGUCAGUUGAAAAGCUGCAUCAUAGAAGGUGAUAAUCCUGUUCAUGAUAUGGACUACCAGUGCAAUAUGAUACAGUCUCUAAGAGUCGAGUUGUUUGGGAAUGCAGCUCAAAGUGGGUGGUAAAUUCCAUCUAAGGCUAAAUAUUGAUGAGAGACCGAUAGCAAACAAGUACCGUGAGGGAAAGAUGAAAAGAACUUUGGAAAGAGAGUUAACAGUACGUGAAAUUGUUAAAAGGGAAACAAUUGAAGUUAGACUUGUUAUUAUUAGUUCAACCUUUUUGAAAGGAGUAUUCUAAUGAUUAACAGACCAACAUCAAUUUUUGGGUGUUGGAUAAGGGUUCAAGGAAAUGUAGCAGUCUCUGACUGUGUUAUAGUCCUGAGCUUUGAUACAAUGCUUAAGAUUGAGGAAUGCAGUAAGCCUUUUAGGUGGAACAAAUUAUUGUUCUUCUUACUGAGGAUGUUGGUGCAAUAGCUUUAAAUGACCCGUCUUGAAACACGGACC